UAUUGCUUUCAGGGCGGGGCGGGAGUCCCCACCGGUGGUUGAAAAGCCCACGAGCUCCGACAAACGUCGGGGCAGAUCUGGCGAAAUACCAGAGCCGACGGUUAUAGUCCGGAUGGAAGAAAGCGAGC
rfam:Parcubacteria bacterium GW2011_GWA2_52_8 TY73_C0026, whole genome shotgun sequence.